rnacentral:rRNA from 1 species
GACGAACGCUGGCGGCGUGCUUAACACAUGCAAGUCGAACGGAAAGGCCCUGCUUUUGUGGGGUGCUCGGGUGGCGAACGGGUGAGUAACACGUGAGUAACCUGCCCUUGACUUUGGGAUAACUUCAGGAAACUGGGGCUAAUACCGGAUAGGAGCUCCUGCUGCAUGGUGGGGGUUGGAAAGUUUCGGCGGUUGGGGAUGGACUCGCGGCUUAUCAGCUUGUUGGUGGGGUAGUGGCUUACCAAGGCUUUGACGGGUAGCCGGCCUGAGAGGGUGACCGGCCACAUUGGGACUGAGAUACGGCCCAGACUCCUACUGGAGGCAGCAGUGGGGAAUAUUGCACAAUGGGCGGAAGCCUGAUGCAGCAACGCCGCGUGCGGGAUGACGGCCUUCGGGUUGUAAACCGCUUUCGCCUGUGACGAAGCGUGAGUGACGGUAAUGGGUAAAGAAGCACCGGCUAACUACGUG